rnacentral:rRNA from 1 species
GUAAGGAAUAUUGGUCAAUGGACGGAAGUCUGAACCAGCCAUCCCGCGUGCAGGAUGAAGGUCCUAUGGAUUGUAAACUGCUUUUGGCAGAGACGAAAUGUUGUCAUUUAUGAUGAUUUGACGGUAUCUGCAGAAUAAGCACCGGCUAACUCCGUGCCAGCAGCCGCGGUAAUACGGAGGGUGCAAGCGUUAUCCGGAAUCACUGGGUUUAAAGGGUGCGUAGGCGGAAUAUUAAGUCAGUGGUGAAAUCCUGUCGCUUAACGAUAGAAUUGCCAUUGAUACUGAUAUUCUUGAAUUGGGUUGAGGUUAGCGGAAUGUGACAUGUAGCGGUGAAAUGCAUAGAUAUGUCAUGGAACACCAAUUGCGAAGGCAGCUAGCUGGGCCUUGAUUGACGCUGAGGCACGAAAGCGUGGGUAGCGAACAGGAUUAGAAACCCUGGUAGUCC